rnacentral:lncRNA from 1 species
GUCUGGGGGAGGCAAGCACGGACUUACUGUGUGGGGGCCCUCAGCAUGCACUGAGCUCCUGCAGGUCCAAUAACUCAGGCCCCUCUAGGCACGCCCUCCUAUAUGACUGCUCCGUCCGCAUCCCGCUCCUACAUGCUGGUCAGUGCUUUCCCCCAGAGAGCCAUCUCCUGAGUUUCUGAGGGCUUUCCAGAGGCAGGGAACCCCGG